rnacentral:lncRNA from 13 species
CACACACACACACACAUCAGUUUCUGGCCAUUUUCAUUGAAAAAGACAGGAAAGGGAAGUGGCUGACACAGCUGCUCUUCCCAUGGGUAGUCACGUUAAUUAGGGCCAAGGAAGGGGAACCAGGGAAGUUUUCUGAUUUUUCCUCAGAAAAAAAAACUUACUGUCAGCAGCUUUCUUUCUAAUCUCAUUCUCUUAGUAAGCCCCUCUUUCUCUUUCUAUCCUCUUUGAGAAGCUGGAUAUUGAUGAAAAAAAAUGCUUGCAAUCCCUGCCCUAAAAUUGAAAUAACUUACCUACAAUGCAAAUAACAGGUAUUGGUUUUCACAAAAGCAAUUUGAAAUUGUAUCUUAGACCAGCUUCUCAAAAUUACAAGUCACCAGGCUAAUGUUCUAAGAAGGAAUGUUGAAAGUGGAGGAGAACGAGAGACGGCAGAGUUAGAUAGAAUACAAGGUGUAGAGCACAUGCUCUCGGAUUCCUAGAAGUGCAGAAAAAGCGUUAGGUAUUUUGAGCUUCUGCUACCAUGGGGUGAUCAAUGUCUACUCUCGGAGGGAAACGUCACUGGAAGCGUCGUCCAUGAGAAACCUUGGAAUCUUUGGAAAUUCUGCCAGCAGCCACAGGAAGAAAUGAAAGGAUUCUCCAUCAGCCAGAUGGUGCGAGCGAGAAGUCAGGCGAUUCUCUGACUUCAGAAGUCAGAGAAACCUUCGAUUCUCUGUCUGCCUGGAAGCUGCUGGCAUCUCCGUCCAAUUGUUGAACAAAUGGGACUUUGUGUACUUCCAUGAGAGAUCUCUUUGAAGUUCUGGCAUCCCGACUGGCAACUUUUCAUAUCUGGCCAUCUUAGAGCAGGGGAGAUUGAGAAACAGAGAGAGGAAGAACCAGGGAAAGAAGGCAGCCUUUGACUGGCUCCAAGCCCAGUGGGUAAACAUGCUGGCUGCCUUCUCACACUGAUUACUUUUCAAAAAUGAAAAGGGAGUGUCCAGCUUCGUUUGGAAUGAAGACGAGGAAAUGACUCUCAGCUGUCCACACACAACAAAACAACCAACCACCACAGAGUAGGGGAGCCUUCCAUCCAAGGUAGACCAGACGGGAUCUGUCUCCUAGACCCAGAAUAUAUCUUCCCCUUCAAAAAUGUUUAUACUGAUAGUAUCUUCAGCAUCCUGAGGAUGGGGACAUUUUAAUGAGCUCCAUAGUCUUUACUUUCUGCAAAGAAUACUCAGUCACAAACUUCCCUUCAGGACAAGAGCAGUUUGCUUUUCUGAGUGCUUUCUUAAUCUGAUUAUAUAGAUGAAGGCUGUGUGGCCUUUUGUUUUGAGUUUAGAAUUAAGGGUUUGAAAGUCUGAGUUCCAACUGCAGUUUUAUACCUAACUUCUUGUGUGGCCAUUCACAAGCAAUUAUUUCCUGUCUUAUUUUUCUGAACUGUUGAGGGGAUUAAGGUGGUAAUAGUGAGGAGGGAAGGGGUUUAUAUCCAGUUUUAAAUUCUUAGAAUUAACUUCAAGACAACAAAUUAUCAAGCAUCUACUCUCCACUUAGAAGUGAGCAAGAGAAAGAAGAAAAAAAUGUAGAAGAAAACUAUAAGGACUCUGUGUUCAAGAACCUUGUAAAUGACUGGACAAAACUUAAGUAUUUACCAUAUAUAAGCAAGGCCAACACAUAUAAUUGGAUAACAUUACCAUAAAUACUGUAAUAACUAGAAAGAAUUAGUACAUUACUAUUAGUGGAGUUAUUUGGCAUAGAUUUAUAAAACAGAAUAAAUUUCAGAUUCACUAUAAGAAAAAGAAAUAA